UACGUAGGGUGCGAGCGUUGUCCGGAAUUACUGGGCGUAAAGAGCUCGUAGGUGGUUUGUCGCGUUGUCCGUGAAAAACUCACAACUCAAUUGUGGGCGUGCGGGCGAUACGGGCAGACUGGAGUACUGCAGGGGAGACUGGAAUUCCUGGUGUAGCGGUGGAAUGCGCAGAUAUCAGGAGGAACACCGGUGGCGAAGGCGGGUCUCUGGGCAGUAACUGACGCUGAGACGCGAAAGCGUGGGGAGCAAACAGG
rnacentral:rRNA from 1 species